CAGUCGCCACGGUAAUACGAAGGUCCCGAGCGUUGUUCGGAAUCACUGGGCGUAAAGGGAGCGUAGGCGGCGUGGUAAGUCAGAUGUGAAAUCCCGGGGCUCAACCCCGGAACUGCAUCCGAUACUGCCGUGCUAGAGGAUUGGAGAGGUAGCUGGAAUUCUUGGUGUAGCAGUGAAAUGCGUGGAGAUCAAGAGGAACACUCGUGGCGAAAGCGAGCUACUGGACAAUAUCUGACGCUGAGGCUCGAAGGCCAGGGUAGCGAAAGGGAUUAGAUACCCGAGUAGUCCCUGUCUCUUAUAC
rnacentral:rRNA from 1 species